rnacentral:rRNA from 1 species
UACGAAGGGGGCUAGCGUUGCUCGGAAUCACUGGGCGUAAAGCGCACGUAGGCGGAUCUUUAAGUCAGGGGUGAAAUCCUGGAGCUCAACUCCAGAACUGCCUUUGAUACUGGCAAUCUUGAGUCCGGAAGAGGUGAGUGGAACUCCUAGUGUAGAGGUGGAAUUCGUAGAUAUUAGGAAGAACACCAGUGGUGAAGGCGGCUCACUGGUCCGGUACUGACGCUGAGGUGCGAAAGCGUGGGGAGCAAACAGG